rnacentral:rRNA from 1 species
AUCAUGGCUCAGGAUGAACGCUAGCUACAGGCUUAACACAUGCAAGUCGAGGGGCAGCAUGAACUUAGCUUGCUAAGUUUGAUGGCGACCGGCGCACGGGUGAGUAACACGUAUCCAACCUUCCGUUUACUCAGGGAUAGCCUUUCGAAAGAAAGAUUAAUACCUGAUAGUAUAGUGAGAUUGCAUGAUAGCACCAUUAAAGAUUUAUUGGUAAACGAUGGGGAUGCGUUCCAUUAGGUAGUAGGCGGGGUAACGGCCCACCUAGCCGACGAUGGAUAGGGGUUCUGAGAGGAAGGUCCCCCACAUUGGAACUGAGACACGGUCCAAACUCCUGCGGGAGGCAGCAGUGAGGAAUAUUGGUCAAUGGGCGAGAGCCUGAACCAGCCAAGUAGCGUGAAGGAUGAGGGUCCUACGGAUUGUAAACUUCUUUUAUAUGGGAAUAAAGUUUUCCACGUGUGGAAUUUUGUAUGUACCAUAUGAAUAAGGAUCGGCUAACUCCGUG